AUCCAGCUGAGGAGUCCCAAGUAGGACGAAACGCGCAUCAAACUGCAU
rfam:Schistosoma mansoni strain Puerto Rico chromosome 3, complete genome